ACUCGAGUGGCGAACGGGUGAGUAACACGUGGGUGAUCUGCCCUGCACUUCGGGAUAAGCUUGGGAAACUGGGUCUAAUACCGGAUAGGAGCCAUCUUUAGUGUGGUGGUUGGAAAGUUUUUUCGGUGUAGGAUGAGCUCGCGGCCUAUCAGCUUGUUGAUGGGGUAAUGGCCUACCAAGGCGGCGACGGGUAGCCGGCCUGAGAGGGUGUACGGCCACAUUGGGACUGAGAUACGGCCCAG
rnacentral:rRNA from 1 species